rnacentral:rRNA from 1 species
CGAAAGCCUGACGCAGCCACGCCGCUUGUGCGAUGAAGGUCUUCGGAUCGUAAACCUCUUUCAGCGGGGACGAAAGCGAAAGUGACGGUACCCGCAGAAGAAGCACCGGCUAACUACGUGCCAGCAGCCGCGGUAAUACGUAGGGUGCAAGCAUUGUCCGGAUUUAUUGGGCGUAAAGAGCUCGUAGGCGGCUUGUCACGUCGGAUGUGAAAACUCGGGGCUCAACCCCGAGCCUGCAUUCGAUACGGGCUAGCUAGAGUGUUGCAGGGGAGACUGGAAUUCCUGGUGUAGCGGUGAAAUGCGCUGAUAUCAGGAGGAACACCGGUGGCGAAGGCGGGUCUCUGGGCAACUACUGACGCUGAGGAGCGAAAGCGUGGGGAGCGAACAGGAUUAGAUACCCUGGUAGUCCACGCCGUAAACGUUGGGCGCUAGGUGUGGGGAACCUUCCACGUUCUCCGUGCCGUAGCUAACGCAUUAAGCGCCCCGCCUGGGGAGUACGGCCGCAAGGCUA